rnacentral:rRNA from 1 species
UACGUAGGGUGCGAGCGUUAAUCGGAAUUACUGGGCGUAAAGCGUGCGCAGGCGGUUUUGUAAGCCAGAUGUGAAAUCCCCGGGCUUAACCUGGGAAUGGCAUUUGGGACUGCAAGGCUCGAGUGCGGCAGAGGAGACUGGAAUUCCUGGUGUAGCAGUGAAAUGCGUAGAUAUCAGGAGGAACACCGAUGGCGAAGGCAGGUCUCUGGGCUGACACUGACGCUCAUGCACGAAAGCGCGGGGAGCAAACAGG